GCCGCGGUGGUCUAGUGGUUAUGACACUCGGCUGCUGAUCCGGAGGUCGCGGGAUCGAAUCCCGGCCGUGGCG
rnacentral:tRNA from 1 species